UCUAUCAUGCAGUCGAGCGGACCGACGGGAGCUUGCUCCCUUAGGUCAGCGGCGGACGGGUGAGUAACACGUGGGUAACCUGCCUGUAAGACUGGGAUAACUCCGGGAAACCGGGGCUAAUACCGGAUGCUUGAUUGAACCGCAUGGUUCAAUCAUAAAAGGUGGCUUUUAGCUACCACUUACAGAUGGACCCGCGGCGCAUUAGCUAGUUGGUGAGGUAACGGCUCACCAAGGCGACGAUGCGUAGCCGACCUGAGAGGGUGAUCGGCCACACUGGGACUGAGACACGGCCCAGACUCCUACGGGAGGCAGCAGUAGGGAAUCUUCCGCAAUGGACGAAAGUCUGACGGAGCAACGCCGCGUGAGUGAUGAAGGUUUUCGGAUCGUAAAACUCUGUUGUUAGGGAAGAACAAGUACCGUUCGAAUAGGGCGGCACCUUGACGGUACCUAACCAGAAAGCCACGGCUAACUACGUGCCAGCAGCCGCGGUAAUACGUAGGUGGCAAGCGUUGUCCGGAAUUAUUGGGCGUAAAGCGCGCGCAGGCGGUUUCUUAAGUCUGAUGUGAAAGCCCCCGGCUCAACCGGGGAGGGUCAUUGGAAACUGGGGAACUUGAGUGCAGAAGAGGAGAGUGGAAUUCCACGUGUAGCGGUGAAAUGCGUAGAGAUGUGGAGGAACACCAGUGGCGAAGGCGACUCUCUGGUCUGUAACUGACGCUGAGGCGCGAAAGCGUGGGGAGCGAACAGGAUUAGAUACCCUGGUAGUCCACGCCGUAACGAUGAGUGCUAAGUGUUAGAGGGUUUCCGCCCUUUAGUGCUGCAGCAAACGCAUUAAGCACUCCGCCUGGGGAGUACGGUCGCAAGACUGAAACUCAAGGAAUUGACGGGGGCCCGCACAAGCGGUGGAGCAUGUGGUUUAAUUCGAAGCAACGCGAAGAACCUUACCAGGUCUUGACAUCCUCUGACAACCCUAGAGGAUAGGGCUUC
rnacentral:rRNA from 1 species